rnacentral:rRNA from 1 species
ACGGGUGAGUAACACGUGGGUAAUCUGCCCUGCAUUCUGGGACAAGCCUUGGAAACGAGGUCUAAUACCGGAUACGACGCAUCUCCGCAUGGGGUGUGCGUGGAAAGCUCCGGCGAUGCAGGAUGAACCCGCGGCCUAUCAGCUUGUUGGUGGGGUGAUGGCCUACCAAGGCGACGACGGGUAGCCGGCCUGAGAGGGCGACCGGCCACACUGGGACUGAGACACGGCCCAGACUCCUACGGGAGGCAGCAGUGGGGAAUAUUGCACAAUGGGCGAAAGCCUGAUGCAGCGACGCCGCGUGAGGGAUGACGGCCUUCGGGUUGUAAACCUCUUUCAGCAGGGAAGAAGCGCAAGUGACGGUACCUGCAGAAGAAGCACCGGCUAACUACGUGCCAGCAGCCGCGGUAAUACGUAGGGUGCGAGCGUUGUCCGGAAUUAUUGGGCGUAAAGAGCUCGUAGGCGGCUUGUCGCGUCGGAUGUGAAAGCCCGGGGCUUAACUUCGGGUCUGCAUUCGAUACGGGCAGGCUAGAGUGUGGUAGGGGAGAUCGGAAUUCCUGGUGUAGCGGUGAAAUGCGCAGAUAUCAGGAGGAACACCGGUGGCGAAGGCGGAUCUCUGGGCCAUUACUGACGCUGAGGAGCGA